GAUGAACGCUGGCGGCGUGCCUAAUACAUGCAAGUCGAGCGAACAGACGAGGAGCUUGCUCCUCUGACGUUAGCGGCGGACGGGUGAGUAACACGUGGAUAACCUACCUAUAAGACUGGGAUAACUUCGGGAAACCGGAGCUAAUACCGGAUAAUAUAUUGAACCGCAUGGUUCAAUAGUGAAAGACGGUUUUGCUGUCACUUAUAGAUGGAUCCGCGCCGCAUUAGCUAGUUGGUAAGGUAACGGCUUACCAAGGCGACGAUGCGUAGCCGACCUGAGAGGGUGAUCGGCCACACUGGAACUGAGACACGGUCCAGACUCCUACGGGAGGCAGCAGUAGGGAAUCUUCCGCAAUGGGCGAAAGCCUGACGGAGCAACGCCGCGUGAGUGAUGAAGGUCUUCGGAUCGUAAAACUCUGUUAUUAGGGAAGAACAAAUGUGUAAGUAACUAUGCACGUCUUGACGGUACCUAAUCAGAAAGCACGGCUAACUACGUG
rnacentral:rRNA from 1 species